rnacentral:rRNA from 1 species
CGCCUAGGCGGCUCGGUGUGUCUUCGGUGAAAGCCUCCGGCUCAACCGGGGGAGGCCCGGGGAAACUACUGAGCUCGAGCCUCGGAGAGGGAAGUGGAACGGCUAGAGUAGCGGUGAAAUGCGCAGAUACUAGUCGGUACCCCGAUAGCGAAGGCAACUUCCUGGUCGACGGCUGACGCUGAAGCGCGAAAGCGUGGGGAGCAAAGGGGAUUAGAUACCCCCGUAGUCCACGCCCUAAACGAUGUCUGCUAGGUGUUGGGCUCUUUAAUAGCAGCUCAGUGCCGCAGCUAACGCGUUAAGCAGACCGCCUGGGGACUACGGCCGCAAGGUUAAA